rnacentral:lncRNA from 1 species
CCUCCUCCCUCUACCUCCAGGGUCAUCUUCCUUCAUAGGCACUAUGGAAACAAAGAGGGCUGGGAAGCUCUGUUUCCUGAUAUUUUUGGACUUGAGGGUGCAAUCUGCAUUAUGAGCACCAGUAAAAUCCAGAGUGUUUUCCCCUUGUUUCUGUGAAAACAUAUUGCAAAUUAAACAGAUUAGGUUUUGGUUUCAGGUAAAUAAGGCAAAUGUUCUCCACCCAGACAUGUGGGGCAGGCAGGGUGUUGAUGGCUAAUUUGUCACCUUUUAGUCCUGAGUCUAAAAUUUCCUUUACUCUAGUCAACAUUUUUUGAUGCACUCUGUCCUGACCUCUUCUUACUGGGGAUUUUCCAUCAAAGGGGACAUUUCUAGCUUUGGGUUUCAAAGCCUUCAGCUCUGAGGUGGAGAAGGAAGUACCAUGUGGAAGUAUGUUUUUCAAUCCUGCUGAUGGUGGCUGAAGAUUAAAAGGCCAACCUGAAAUAGGUAUAUUUUUUGAAGAAAUAGUAUUGCUUGUUGGUGUUGGCAAGUGGCCUAGAACAAAAGGAUGAAAGAAUUUGUUCCCGGCAGCUUUGAAACCCACAAAGAGUCAGCAUCUGCUUCGCACACACAUGCAUGCAAAGCUUUGUGGGUUCCUGCCCACAGUAGGCAAGCAGUUUACUCUUUGGCAGUGGCAAUUCAACAUGCUUCAAAGGAUUUCUUUGGUACUGAUUCCUUAUUCAGUGUGAGUUCUCUGAUCCAUGGAGGUCUUGCUAAGACAGCAGCAUUAAGAGAAGACCACAACAUAGAUGCCAGAGGAAAAAAUCCCUUGGCUUUUUUUUCACACCCAUUGUUCGACUUUUGUUGUUACUGCAUUAGUGGUUUUUCUGCUUCUGAUCUGUGGCUCUCUAAUUCUGUAGCUACUCUCUUUUCUGCCCUUGUAGUAAGCAUUACUUACACCCUAUCUUUCUUGCCAGUUCCUGACAACCACUAAAUGUUCAUUCACUAUUAGAAGGAGUAUGUCUAUCUUAAAACUACAUAAUCUGGGAGCACUACUUAAAAAAACAAACUAAGAUUUUGGUUGGCAAGCUCAACGAAAGGAAGGUUUCCUGGUGAAAUGAGUAAUUGGACUUUGGAUUUCUCUCUCAUGGUCCUUCUCUUGGAAUAGAACAGUAGUUGUCAAUCUGGGAAGCAAUCUCUCUGCCCCACUACCUCCCCCCACAAGCAAUAUUUGACAAUGUUUAGAGACUCUGGGAGAGGGCCAUCCUAUUGCCAUCUAGUGGGUAGAGAUCAGAGAUACUUUAAAAAUCUUACAAUGCACAGAAUUAUGUGACCUAAAACAUCAGAGAUAAGGUUGAAAAAUCCUGGGAUAGAGGAGGUGGGGGUGUUUACCUAGGGGAAGAAAAAAUUUAAAAGCGUCCUGGAUGCUAUAUGCAAAUGUUUUUAUCUUCUUCAUAGUAACCUUCUUAUUUUAUAGAUGUGACAGCCUCUCAAAAUUCUUAAAUGAUAUUGAACAUAUACUUUUUAAAAUAUUAUCUUUUCCUAAAAUUAUCUAUUUCACCAGUAUUUGGGCCACCUGUUUUUGAUGUCCCCAUGCUCCUGAUUUUUUCAAAUGCUGAGCAAUUCUAAGUUGUCUGUGUAUAUUUAUAAACAAGGGUCUAUAGCAGCAGUCUCAAAUUUGGCUGCCUGUUAGAUCAGGGGGCCCCAAACUUGGGGUGGAGCCUGGGCAUCUAUAGUUUUUUAAAAGUUCCUAGGUGAUUUGGAGACUCAAUGAGGGUCUAAAUAGCCCAAUAUGAGAAGUCAAAAUGGUUUUCCUUGGUACAAAUGAAGCUUUCUGUCCCCACUGCAGUUCCUUAGGUGAGUGGAGGUUUUGACUUCAGAAUCCUUGAGAAGAGUUGCCAGUGAAGAAAAGGUUAAGAUUGGAAUAAAUCUUCUGUCAUAGAGAACUUAAUUUUCAAAGAAAAAAAAAUUGAUGCCAUUAGUUGGUGCAGCUAACACACCUACAUGGGAUCAUGGGUGCUGAGGCUCAGGAUGGUAGAGGAAGCAUAAGAGCAAUAGAAAUAUUGGACCCGAUAUAAAGCAGAUCCAACUUUGUCAAUGUACUUUCUUUUCUCAGGGGCCAAUCUCUGCCCACUACAUUCUCUAUGGAACCAGGCAGCUGAGCCCUGCCUACCUAGCCUGGAUUUCCCUGGUUGAAUGGGACUUAUUGGAUUUCUUUCAAAAUCUAUUUAGAGCCUACAUCUGCUUUGGAAAUCUGCACACACUACUAGUUGUCCUUGAGGCACAUAGCCAUAGUCUUCCAUAGUGUUCUCAACGGUAAGCUGGGAAGUCAGCAAGGUCUCACAUGUGGAGAGAAAAAUGGGGGUGCUUUACGCUGCCUGAUGAGCCAGGCGGCCUAGAUGUGAAAUGCCUAUAACAAGGUCUUCUCAAUGCCUUCAUUUAAAUUAAUUAAAAUCAAGUCAAAUCUAAAAUUUAGUUUCUCAGUCAUACUAAUCAUAUUUUAAGUCUCUAACAGCUACGUGUACCUCAUGGCUACUAUGCUCAAUGGCACAUAGAACAUUGCUAUCACUGCAGAAAUUUCUCUUGGAUGGUGUGAUCUGCAGAGGGCUUAAACCUAGAGAAAGCUCUACCUUUUGUCUCUCACUUGGGCUAAAAUGCUGAAUGAGCCCAUUACAUAAACAGUUCUUUGAGAAGCUCAGCAUCACAAGGCAUUAUCAGUUGAGUAGUUCUUUGUAGGAAUGGGUCAUAGGAACAAAUAGAUUUUCAUGGAUAUAACAGUUAAAUCAAUUAGGUAAGUGCCAAGUGCUUUCAAAUACAAAGUCGUUCAGUCCACGAAAAGCCCAAUGAGGUAGGUGCUUUUUUUUUUUAAUUUAAUAGAUUGGGAAAUUAAGACAUUUGUCCAAAAUUCGAGCUAAUAAUAGUCAAAGUUUUUUAAAUGGUUUUACAAACAACUGUCAAAUCUCAAUGACUUAACGUGGUAAAAACAAAACAAAUGAACAAAAACUUUAUACUUUUCUCAAGUCACAGGCCAGUUGUAUGCUCAGUGAAGAUCACUGUGCAGUGAUUCAGAGCUCAAGUCUCCUUCCAUGAGGUGGCUUGGCCAGGUUUUGGUUUCUCUGAAUCCUCUUGUGGAGCUUCUGCAUCUAAGUAGAAGACAAAGGAAGAGCCUAAAGCAGGGUUUCCUAACUUAAGCAUUAUUGACAUUUUGGGCUGGAUCCUGCUUUGUUUGCUAUCUUGGAUGCCAGUAGCAUUCUCCCAGUUGUGACAGCCAAGAUGUUUCCAUACAUUCCCCAAAGUUCCUAGAGUGGAGUGAGGAGGCAAAAUCACCCACCAGUUAAGACAAGUAGCUUCAAGGUUCUCUCCAGAGGUUUUAGAGAAUAUGUAAGUGGCCGUAUUCCUUUCACUCAAAUUCUGUUGGCCAGAACUUAACAUAUGACUACACCUAACUAGGAGAGGGCUGGAAAAUAUAAUCCAGCCAUGUGCCCAGGAAGAAGAGGAAAUCUGAGAAGAACCAGAUGAGCAAUGUGGAAUCUGCCUGAAGAAUAUAGAGCCCAGAAAGCACACCAAAACUUCAGAGAAACCAGCAGAUUUGUAAAGCAUUCUGGACAGUAUUGGAGGGAAAACCAUUCCAUUAUCACAAAUUUUCUUCAUAGCAUAUCUUGCUACCCUCUAUAAGUCUCCCAGAAUAAAAACCUAAUGCGAUAAAGUACUAGAUGUUAUAUUUCCUAGACGGGUAUAUUCAUUAGGCAACACAAAAGCAUUGCAAUCAUUAUUUUGCAAUGACUCGUAAGAAAGCUGAGUACAUGCAAGGCAGGAAUGAAGCUGGAAUGAUGGGAAUAUUCCAUGAAGAUGUUCAGCCCCAAUUAUAUUCCAGAAAGAUGAGCACCUGCAAUAUGUAUAGCCAGGAGGAAGAGAGAAAUACAGUUUUGGAAGAAGGAGAAGUGGAGAAUCUUUGGGUAAAUGUCACAAGCAUUAGAGCUUCAGAAAUAAGGAGAGGUGGUGGGGGAUGGCUGCCAUUCAUUUACUAGGAACAGUUUCAAACACUAUCUUGGUUUAGUGUAAGGACAUGUUGCAAAAUUGGUUAACAAAUGACAGUAUCUAGAGUCCCACCUGAAGCACUAAAAUUUUUGAAUUGCAAAGCAUGUUAGUUGACACCCACUUAUAGAGAAAAGAAUGCAUACCUUUUGUAAGGAUCACCUAAAUUGUAGUUGGCUCCCUUUGGUGCAUGAAAAACCUUUAUAUAUGCCUUAAUUUUCCUUGCUUUAUGACAGCCAAAUGAAGUUGAAAUGCUUCUUGAGUUUUUUAUUACACAGUUUGAGGGAAAUUAUUUCUCAGCUGCCUAGUUGGGACAUUUUUCUCCUUACUAUGUAAUCAUACUGAAAAGAACUAGAAACUCUCAAGUUUCUACCAACUGGCACCAGCCCAAACUCAGAAGCAAAGGCUAAGCUCCCCAACCACACUUAGCUCCACCCUACCCAACCCCUGCCUUAAGUAAAAGAUGACCAUAUCACAUCUCUGCGCUAACAAAAAUCAAUCAAAUCCAGCCUAAGUGACUGAGUUGAAGAGAAAUACUGUAUCCAAUAAAUUCAUAUAAAGGCCUAUAUCAUAUUAAAGUUAUUAAUAGCUACAUCUUACUAAAAAUAAUGAUUAUAUUUUAUUCAUCUUAUCAAAAGUUUCCAUUUCUUUGGGGGGAAAAACUAUUAGAAGAGUAUACUAAAUGAAGAAAGAGAAAGAGGAUGGGGAAAGAGAGGAAAAGAGAAAGUAAGACAUUUUGAGCAGUGGGUAAGUCAUGGCGGGGAUGGAUUCAUUUCCAGUCUUACACAGCAGACCUCUUCAAUUACAUUUUCCAGGGAAGAGACAAUAAGGUCAGGUAGAG